rnacentral:tRNA from 1 species
AGGAAGUAGCUGAGCUAAUGUAUGGCUUCUAACCAGACAAAGAGAGGUUUAAUUCCUUUCACAUCCUU